rnacentral:rRNA from 1 species
AUACGUAGGGGGCGAGCGUUGUCCGGAAUUACUGGGCGUAAAGGGUGCGUAGGUGGCACUUUAAGUUGGAUGUGAAAUCCCCGUGCUUGACAUGGGAGCUGCAUCCAAUACUGGAGAGCUAGAGUGCAGGAGAGGUAAGCGGAAUUCCUAGUGUAGCGGUGAAAUGCGUAGAUAUUAGGAGGAACACCAGUGGCGAAGGCGGCUUACUGGACUGUAACUGACACUGAGGCACGAAAGCGUGGGGAGCAAACAGGAUUAGAUACCCUGGUAGUCCACGCUGUAAACGAUGAAUACUAGGUGUAGGGGGUAUCAACUCCCUCUGUGCCGCAGCAAACGCAAUAAGUAUUCCGCCUGGGGAGUACGGCCGCAAGGUUGAAACUCAAAUGAAUUGACGGGG